rnacentral:rRNA from 1 species
UACAUGGGGUGCAAACGUUGCUCGGAAUUAUUGGGCGUAAAGCGCACGUAGGCGGUUUGUUAAGUCGGAUGUGAAAUCCCUCGGCUCAACUGAGGAAGUGCAUCCGAAACUGGCAGGCUUGAGUACUAAAGAGGGUCGCGGAAUUCCCGGUGUAGAGGUGAAAUUCGUAGAUAUCGGGAGGAACACCGGUGGCGAAGGCGGCGACCUGGGU